GGGUUCAGCGAAAGAUCCACCUUUACAACGUUACUUUCGGGCUUUAUAUGUUGGAUUGGUGGGAGCGUUGUUCAUUUAAUAUUUUGGUGAUUGUACUAAUGUGUUUCGUAGUUCGGUACAUUACCCGGUUCUUCAAGAGGUACAUUCUGGGUAUUGUUUAAGUGUCGGAUAUCGCAUGCAAGAAACCAAAUCAUUCUCGGGAAGAUGACAGAUGCCAAUGCAGAUCUUGUAGCUGUUUGAUAUGGACAGAUUUAGGAGUUUCUUAAAGCUGUCAAAAAAGUUGGGAUGUUCAUAUAUGUGAUAUUUAUUUUCUUAUAAGCUUGUUUUGCAUUUGCGUUUUUGACACUGUAAUUAUUAUUGGUAAUGUUCAUUAUUAAACUUUUUUAACACUUUUUUUUUAAGAACAUUUUGAACAUUUCAAAUUA